UGGUUCAGAUUGAAUGCUGACGGCGUGGAUGAGGCAUGCAAGUCGAACGGAAUAUACAGCUUGCUGUAUAUUUAGUGGCGGAAGGGUUAGUAAUGCAUGGAUAACCUACCCCUAACUUUGGGAUAACGACUGGAAACGGUCGCUAAUACUGGAUGUGGUGUUAAAAAGAAUCUUUUUAACAUUAAAGUUUGGGAUCGAGUAAUCGACCAUUCGGUUAGGGAGGGGUCCAUGUGAUAUCAGCUAGUUGGUGAGGUAAUGGCUCACCAAGGCUAAGACGUCUAGGCGGGUUGAGAGAUUGACCGCCAACACUGGGACUGAGAUACUGCCCAGACUCCUACGGGAGGCUGCAGUCGAGAAUCUUUCGCAAUGGGGGCAACCCUGACGAAGCGACGCCGUGUGAAUGAUGAAGGCCUUCGGGUCGUAAAGUUCUUUCGCAAGGGAACAAGAGAGGUUGGUUAAUAGCCGACUAAUUUGAGGGUACUUUGUAAAGAAGCACCGGCUAACUCCGUGCCAGCAGCUGCGGUAAUACGGAGGGUGCAAGCAUUUAUCGGAUUUAUUGGGCGUAAAGGGGGCGUAGGCUGGAGAGCAAGUCAGACGUGAAAUCCCGGGGCUUAACCCCGGAACUGCGUUUGAAACUACUUUUCUUGAGGAUAGACGGAGAAAACGGAAUUCCACAUGUAGCGGUGAAAUGCGUAGAUAUGUGGAAGAACACCCGUGGCGAAAGCGGUUUUCUAGUUUAUUCCUGACGCUAAGGCCCGAAAGCUAGGGGAGCAAACAGGAUUAGAUACCCUGGUAGUCCUAGCCGUAAACGAUGUAUACUUGGUGUAGACGGAUUCAACCCUGUCUUUGCCGUAGCUAACGCGAUAAGUAUACCGCCUGGGGAGUACGCUCGCAAGGGUGAAACUCAAAAGAAUUGACGGGGACCCGCACAAGCAGUGGAGCAUGUGGUUUAAUUCGAUGCAACGCGAAGAACCUUACCCAGACUUGACAUGUAAUAGACAUCCCUAGAAAUAGGGCUUUCCUUCGGGACUGUUAUACAGGUGCUGCAUGGCUGUCGUCAGCUCGUGCCGUGAGGUGUUGGGUUAAGUCCCGCAACGAGCGCAACCCUUAUCGUUAGUUGCCAACACGUAAUGGUGGGAACUCUAGCGAGACUGCCCGGGUUAACCGGGAGGAAGGUGAGGAUGACGUCAAGUCCGCAUGGCCCUUAUGUCUGGGGCUACACACGUGCUACAAUGGCCGGUACAGAAGGUAGCGAAGCCGCGAGGUGAAGCAAAUCCGAUAAAGCCGGUCCCAGUUCAGAUUGGAGUCUGCAACUCGACUCCAUGAAGUUGGAAUUGCUAGUAAUGGCGUAUCAGCUACGACGCCGUGAAUACGUUCCCGGGUCUUGUACACACCGCCCGUCACAUCAUGAAAGUUGGUUUAACCCGAAGUCGCUGACUUAACCGCAAGGGGGGAGGCGCCGAAGGUUGGGCCGAUGAUUGGGAUGAAGUCGAAACAAGGUA
rnacentral:rRNA from 1 species